CCUACGGGGUGCAGCAGUGAGGAAUAUUGGUCAAUGGACGAGAGUCUGAACCAGCCAAGUAGCGUGAAGGAUGACUGCCAUAUGGGUUGUAAACUUCUUUUAUAUGGGAAUAAAACGUUCCACGUGUGGGAUUUUGUAUGUACCAUAUGAAUAAGGAUCGGCUAACUCCGUGCCAGCAGCCGCGGUAAUACGGAGGAUCCGAGCGUUAUCCGGAUUUAUUGGGUUUAAAGGGAGCGUAGGUGGAUUGUUAAGUCAGUUGUGAAAGUUUGCGGCUCAACCGUAAAAUUGCAGUUGAAACUGGCAGUCUUGAGUACAGUAGAGGUGAGCGGAAUUCGUGGUGUAGCGGUGAAAUGCUUAGAUAUCACGAAGAACUCCGAUUGCGAAGGCAGUUCACUGGACUGCAACUGACACUGAGGCUCGAAAGUGUGGGUAUCAAACAGGAUUAGAUACCCCUGUAGUC
rnacentral:rRNA from 1 species